GCGAAGCCUCGAUCUCCGACCGAUUGUAGCCCAUCGCGACUAGUGCUUCUGAGCAUCGCGAUGCGAAAAUGACAAAUAGUUUGGUUGUCGCCAAUACUCGAACGGAUAUAUAUGUAUGGUUCAAUUUGGAGUAGCCGGAAUUGUGUGUUCUCAUCGCCUUGAACUGAACAAUUGGCCGUAGGAACAUUGAGUACAAAACUAGGACCCAAACCGGAUGCAAUCUUAGCUAUGUAUUUAAUGGAAAACGUCGACUUGAAUUGAAUUCUCA